rnacentral:rRNA from 1 species
GACGAACGCUGGCGGCGUGCUUAACACAUGCAAGUCGAACGGAAAGGCCCUGCUUUUGGGGGGUGCUCUAGUUGCGAACUGGUGAGUAACACGUGGGUAACCUGCCCUUGACUUUGGGAUAACUUCAGGAAACUUGGUCUAAUACCGGAUAGGAUCUCCUGCUGCAUGGUGGGGGUUGGAAAGUUUCGCCGGUUGGUGAUGUACUGGCGGCUUAUCAGCUUGUUGGUGGGGUAGUGGAUUACCAUGGCUUUGACGGGUAGCAUGCCUGAGCGGGUGACCGGACAAAUUAGGCCUGGAAUGAGACCCGGCCCACUACGGGAGGCAGCGGUGGGGAGUAUUGCACAAUAGGAGGAGGCCUAAUGCAGUCACGCAGCGUGGGGGAUGAGAGCAAGCGGGUUGUAUUCUGAUUUCGCCUGUGCCGAAGUGUGAAUGACAGUAAUGGGUAAAGAAGCACCGGCUAACUCCGUG